rnacentral:lncRNA from 1 species
AUUGCAUCUUAAAUACUAAAACCCCAUGUGAAUAAAUUGUGUGGUGUGUAAAAGCCCACACGAAUAUUCACCGUGGUGGAAUAAAAAAAUAUAUAAAAAUAAAUAAACAUGCUUUCAUCCUGUUCCAUUUCCUUUUUGCUUCAUAGAAAGAUUAAAACCCAAAAAAAUAUAUAUAUUGAGAAAGAGAUGUUGUUGAAACUCUGCUUAGAAAAAGAAUUAAGAAAAAUCUAAAAAGCUUGGACAAC